AUUGAACGCUGGCGGCAGGCUUAACACAUGCAAGUCGAGCGGGGUGAUGGUGCUCGCACUAUCACUUAGCGGCGGACGGGUGAGUAAUGCUUAGGAAUCUGCCUAUUAGUGGGGGACAACAUCUCGAAAGGGAUGCUAAUACCGCAUACGUCCUACGGGAGAAAGCAGGGGACCACUUGUGACCUUGCGCUAAUAGAUGAGCCUAAGUCGGAUUAGCUAGUUGGUGGAGUAAAGGCCGACCAAGGCGACGAUCUGUAGCGGGUCUGAGAGGAUGAUCCGCCACACUGGGGCUGAGACACGGCCCAGACUCCUACGGGAGGCAGCAGUGGGGAAUAUUGGACAAUGGGGGGAACCCUGAUCCAGCCAUGCCGCGUGUGUGAAGAAGGCCUUAUGGUUGUAAAGCACUUUAAGCGAGGAGGAGGCUCUUUUGGUUAAUACCCAAGAUGAGUGGACGUUACUCGCAGAAUAAGCACCGGCUAACUCUGUGCCAGCCGCCGCGGUAA
rnacentral:rRNA from 1 species